rnacentral:rRNA from 1 species
UUGUGAGGUUAAGCGACUAAGCGUACACGGUGGAUGCCCUGGCAGUCAGAGGCGAUGAAGGACGUGCUAAUCUGCGAUAAGCGUCGGUGAGGUGAUAUGAACCGUUAUAACCGGCGAUUUCCGAAUGGGGAAACCCAGUGUGUUUCGACACACUAUCAUUAACUGAAUCCAUAGGUUAAUGAGGCGAACCGGGGGAACUGAAACAUCUAAGUACCCCGAGGAAAAGAAAUCAACCGAGAUUCCCCCAGUAGCGGCGAGCGAACGGGGAGGAGCCCAGAGCCUGAAUCAGUGUGUGUGUUAGUGGAAGCGUCUGGAAAGGCGCGCGAUACAGGGUGACAGCCCCGUACACAAAAAUGCACAUAUUGUGAGCUCGAUGAGUAGGGCGGGACACGUGGUAUCCUGUCUGAAUAUGGGGGGACCAUCCUCCAAGGCUAAAUACUCCUGACUGACCGAUAGUGAACCAGUACCGUGAGGGAAAGGCGAAAAGAACCCCGGCGAGGGGAGUGAAAAAGAACCUGAAACCGUGUACGUACAAGCAGUGGGAGCCUCUUAAUGGGGUGACUGCGUACCUUUUGUAUAAUGGGUCAGCGACUUAUAUUCUGUAGCAAGGUUAACCGAAUAGGGGAGCCGAAGGGAAACCGAGUCUUAACUGGGCGUUAAGUUGCAGGGUAUAGACCCGAAACCCGGUGAUCUAGCCAUGGGCAGGUUGAAGGUUGGGUAACACUAACUGGAGGACCGAACCGACUAAUGUUGAAAAAUUAGCGGAUGACUUGUGGCUGGGGGUGAAAGGCCAAUCAAACCGGGAGAUAGCUGGUUCUCCCCGAAAGCUAUUUAGGUAGCGCCUCGUGAAUUCAUCUCCGGGGGUAGAGCACUGUUUCGGCAAGGGGGUCAUCCCGACUUACCAACCCGAUGCAAACUGCGAAUACCGGAGAAUGUUAUCACGGGAGACACACGGCGGGUGCUAACGUCCGUCGUGAAGAGGGAAACAACCCAGACCGCCAGCUAAGGUCCCAAAGUCAUGGUUAAGUGGGAAACGAUGUGGGAAGGCCCAGACAGCCAGGAUGUUGGCUUAGAAGCAGCCAUCAUUUAAAGAAAGCGUAAUAGCUCACUGGUCGAGUCGGCCUGCGCGGAAGAUGUAACGGGGCUAAACCAUGCACCGAAGCUGCGGCAGCGACGCUUAUGCGUUGUUGGGUAGGGGAGCGUUCUGUAAGCCUGUGAAGGUGUGCUGUGAGGCAUGCUGGAGGUAUCAGAAGUGCGAAUGCUGACAUAAGUAACGAUAAAGCGGGUGAAAAGCCCGCUCGCCGGAAGACCAAGGGUUC